CAAGGCUGCCAGGUUGGACAAAAUGGGACAGUUUUCACUCCACUGGAGCCCCAGAGUGGUGAGCUCUGGGAAACACCAUUAUGGGGGAUCUGUGGGUCACUAUCAUGGCGUUUGGGAGAGGCACUUUUGGGGGUGUGGUCUUCAGUUAGCUUUGAGAUUCACGGUGAACGGAAAUGUACUUCCCAAGAGCGUUUCACGCCACCCUGGGCUUCAGGAUCCUGGGCAAGCGCCAACGCUGACCAUCCAGGCUUAUGAUCUCACUGGCAGUUCGUCAAUCACGGUGGGGAGGAAACAACCUGCACUCCACCCACGCCCACUGCACUCCACUUGGUGGUGUUAAGAAAAUAUAAGGGCUCGGCACCCCUGAUUUGGGUUGAGGAUCUUAUGCCAAGAUCAACUUCCAUUUCUUCUUUUCUGGCAGCCUCAAGGAACUGCUGAUGAGGGAACCUCAGAGCCCUGCUCCUGGAGAUAUGUUUCAGAGCCUGUCCUGGUCCCUAGGAGAGAUUUUGGAAAUCUCGAGAGUCGGAGAAUCAUUGUUUAGGGAAGGUUCAAAGAGCAAACCAUUCACCCCUCCAUCCAUCCAUCCAUCCAUCCAUCCAUCCAUCCAUAUCCACCCAUCCAUCCA
rnacentral:lncRNA from 1 species